GGUCUUUGUGAGUUGCGUGAGACCGGAAGCCUUUUACUAACGUCACAAAGAGAAGCAUCAAACAGCAGUCAUACCCUGUCAUCCUGAUAGCUGACUGUUAGCUGAUACAGAGCCUGAAAUAGUGCUUCAGUCAACAUGUAUCCUGCAAAUGGAGGCCGAUGGACAAAAGAUGUUUCAGCAGACACCAAUGGGGAUAUAUACUGAAGACCAAAAUGCAGAGGAAAAGAUACCUAUCCAUUAAGUGGAUGUCAGAGAAGAGAAAAUGGCCCCAGAACAGAUGCCUCCACUGAUGUCGAUGCCAGUAGCCUCCCCACCUUAGAUGCCAUCCUAAGUCAAAGGUGGGGAAGAAGGAUAGAAAUGACAGAAUUUACAUUUGAAAUGACUAAGGAAACACUAAAACAAUUAAAUGAACCUGAAAGGUGUCAAGCAACCUUGCACAUUUCUGCUGUUCUCAUCUCUACCGCCUAUACCUCUGUUCUGCCACCAUGAGAACAGACCUGGGCUAGUCUGCUGAGGGACAAAAGACCAUGCACCAUGAAUCAAUUGAUUCAUCCCAGAAAUCUCUUCACUACUGUUGGCAAUAUCCAAGACACAUCUUCCCUAUUUGGGAGAGGAGAGGAGCAAAGAGAAAUAACUGAUAGUCUACAGAAGGGAAAUGUUACUGCGUCCACUCUACAAUAAAGAACUCUGAGCACUAAGUAAGAACCAAUGAGUAGGAGUUACAGGGAGUUCGCAUCAUCCUGGUG